rnacentral:rRNA from 1 species
UGGUGUUGAUUGCGGUGAGGGUCCACCCGUUCCCAUCCCGAACACGGAAGUUAAGCUCACCUGCGCCGAAAAUACUUGUCUGGAGACGGACCGGGAAGAUAGGUAACGCCGACAA